rnacentral:rRNA from 1 species
GAUGAACGCUGGCGGCGUGCCUAAUACAUGCAAGUCGAGCGAACAGACGAGGAGCUUGCUCCUCUGACGUUAGCGGCGGACGGGUGAGUAACACGUGGAUAACCUACCUAUAAGACUGGGAUAACUUCGGGAAACCGGAGCUAAUACCGGAUAAUAUAUUGAACCGCAUGGUUCAAUAGUGAAAGACGGUUUUGCUGUCACUUAUAGAUGGAUCCGCGCCGCAUUAGCUAGUUGGUAAGGUAACGGCUUACCAAGGCGACGAUGCGUAGCCGACCUGAGAGGGUGAUCGGCCACACUGGAACUGAGACACGGUCCAGACUCCUACGGGAGGCAGCAGUAGGGAAUCUUCCGCAAUGGGCGAAAGCCUGACGGAGCAACGCCGCGUGAGUGAUGAAGGUCUUCGGAUCGUAAAACUCUGUUAUUAGGGAAGAACAAAUGUGUAAGUAACUAUGCACUUCUUGACGGUACCUAAUCAGAAAGCCACGGCUAACUACGUG